AGUUUAUUGUUAUAGUACAUUGAAAUUCUUACUUACAAGUCUCCUUAGAAUAGUGAUAAUGAUACAAUACCAACAAAAAAAGACAUACAAAAAAUAUAAAGAAUGCAACAUACAUCAAUCAGCCACAACAUUAAAACCCAUGACAGAUGAAGUGAAUAACAUUGAUAAUCCCAUUAAAAUAGCACCUGACAAGGGGUGGGUUACAAUAUAUUAGGAAGCAUGUGUACAGCCAGCUCUUGGUCAUGUGCUGGAAACAGGAAAAAUGUACAAGCAUAAGAAUCUGAGCAACUCUGACAAGAACCAAGUUGCAAUGGCUAGACAGCUGGGUCAGGGCAUCUCCAAAACAGCAGGUCUUGUGGGGAUGUUCCCAGUAUGUAGCAGUUAGUACCUACCAAAACCAGCCUGAGGAAGGACAACUGGUGAACCGGCAACAGGACCAUUGGUGCCCAAGUCGCAUUGGCAUGCAUGAGGAGCGAAGCCUAGCUCAACUGGUCUGAUCCCACAGGAGAGCUACUGUUGCACAAAUUUAUGAAAAAAAUAAAGAUUCUCAUAAGAGAACAGUGUCUGAACACAAAGUGUAUCAUAGAUUGCUACAUAUGAGACUGUGUAGCCAUAGACUUGUCAAAGUGCUCAUGCUGACCCCUAUCAACUACCAAAAGCACCUACAAUAGGCAUGUGAGCAUCAGAAGAACUGGACCCUGGAGCAAUGGAAAAAAGUGACCCGGUCUGAUGAAUCACAUUUUUUUUUUUAGAUAUGGAUGCCUGGGUUCGAGUGCAUUGUUUACCUGGAGCAGAGAUGGCAGCAGGAUGCACGUUGGAAAGAAGACAAACUGGAAGAGGGAAUUUGAUGCUCUGGGUAAUGUUCUGCUGAGAAACUUUGGGUUCUGGAAUUCAUGUGGCUGGUACUUUGACUUGUACCACCUAUCUAAAGAUUGUUGCAGACCACGUACACUCCUUCAUGGUAUUACGUGAUAGCAGUGGCCUCUUUGAGUGGGAUAAUGCGCCCUUCCACACUGCAUACAUUGUUCAGGAAUGGAGGAAGGAAGAUAAAAAAGAGUAAAAGGUAUUGGGUUAACCUCCAAAUUUCCCAGAUCUGAAUUUGACUGAGCAUCUGUUGGAUGUGUUGGAAAAACAAGUCAGAUCCUUAAAGGCUCUAUUUUGCAACUUACAGUACUUAAAGGAUCUGGUACUAACAUCUUGGUGCCAGAUAGCACGGGACAUCUUCAGAGGUCUUGUACAGUCCAUGCCUUGAUGGGUCAGAGCUGUUUUGGCAGCACAAAUGGGACCUACACAAUACAGUAUUAGAUCAGCACUUUGGAUGCACCUGCUGCACUCUCCUUCACUCCAAGUGACAAAUCUACUUUAAAAAAAUGCUACAGGGUAGAUUGGGUGCCAGCUACCCCCAUGAUAAUUCUCCAGUCCCCACCUGAUGAUGACAUGAAGAUAACACGGGAUGAUGGGUCCCAUCUGGAGUACAUGGCACAAGUGAUUGUUCAGAAUGCUAGUCAAUGAGGUCAUUGUGUGCAGGACCUAAAAAGGCAUGUCACAGGCUCUCCAGGGGAGAGCGGCUCUGCAAGUGAAUGAGGCAAGUCUCUUCCACAGACUGAACACUGUUUGCUGCUCGGCUGAGUGGAGAUACCAGGAGCUGCCAGCACUUCACAACUGUGGUUUAGCAGACAGGGCAGAGUCCUGCCUAUCACUCUGCACUCAUCAUGCAAUUUCUGUUGUGAUUUAAUAAGAAGACAGUUAUGUAAGGAGGUUUUUUUUUCUUUUUCUAAACUGUGCCUGUCAGCAGGAAAAUACACAGACAUGAACAUAUGGAAUUAAUAAAAGAUGUGAGCAUUAGGAAAAGAGCUAAAAACUGUCUUUCUGCUGUCAUUUUAAAGUGACUUUUAAUUAUAUGUCUUCUUUUUUUUUUGCAAAAUAAAAAAGAUACU